GAUGAACGCUGGCGGCGUGCCUAAUACAUGCAAGUCGAGCGAACGGACGAGAAGCUUGCUUCUCUGAUGUUAGCGGCGGACGGGUGAGUAACACGUGGAUAACCUACCUAUAAGACUGGGAUAACUUCGGGAAACCGUAGCUAAUACCGGAUAAUAUUUUGAACCGCAUGGUUCAAAAGUGAAAGACGGUCUUGCUGUCACUUAUGGAUGGAUCCGCGCUGCAUUAUCUAGUUGGUAAGGUAACGGCUUACCAAGGCAACGAUGCAUAGCCGACCUGAGAGGGUGAUCGGCCACACUGGAACUGAGACACGGUCCAGACUCCUACGGGAGGCAGCAGUAGGGAAUCUUCCGCAAUGGGCGAAAGCCUGACGGAGCAACGCCGCGUGAGUGAUGAAGGUCUUCGGAUCGUAAAACUCUGUUAUUAGGGAAGAACAUAUGUGUAAGUAACUGUGCACAUCUUGACGGUACCUAAUCAGAAAGCCACGGCUAACUACGUG
rnacentral:rRNA from 1 species